CCCUUAGAUGUUCUGGGCCGCACGCGCGCUACACUGAUGCAUUCAACGAGCCUAGCCUUGACCGAGAGGUCCGGGUAAUCUUUGAAACUGCAUCGUGAUGGGGCUAGAUUAUUGCAAUUAUUAAUCUUCAACGAGGAAUGCCUAGUAAGCGUGAUUCAUCAAAUCGCGUUGAUUACGUCCCUGCCCUUUGUACACACCGCCCGUCGCUCCUACCGAUUGAGUGUGUUGGUGAGGAGUUCGGAUUGGCUCUUAGUGGUGGUUCGCCACCACCUAGAGCUGAGAAGUUCUCCAAACCGCCCCACUUAGAGGAAGGAGAAGUCGGAACA
rnacentral:rRNA from 1 species